GUGAGGAACACGUAGGAAUCGGCCCACGAGUGGGGGGACAACCUGGGGAAAACUCAGGCUAAUACCGCAUACGCUCGCGAGAGGAAAGCGGGGGACCUUCGGGCCUCGCGCUGGUGGACGAGCCUACGUCCGAUUAGCUAGUUGGUGGGGUAACGGCCUACCAAGGCGACGAUCGGUAGCGGGUCUGAGAGGACGACCCGCCACACUGGGACUGAGACACGGCCCAGACUCCUACGGGAGGCAGCAGUGGGGAAUAUUGGACAAUGGGCGCAAGCCUGAUCCAGCAAUGCCGCGUGGGUGAAGACGGCCUGCGGGUUGUAAAGCCCUUUAGGCGGGGAGGAACGGUCGGGGUGCCAAUACCACCCGGCGCUGACGUUACCCGCAGAAUAAGCACCGGCUAACUCCGUGCCAGCAGCCGCGGUAAUACGGAGGGUGCGAGCGUUAAUCGGAAUUACUGGGCGUAAAGCGUGCGUAGGCGGUAGCGUCAGUCAGCCGUGAAAGCCCCGGGGCUUAACCGUGGGGAACGGCGGUUGAGACGGCGCAAC
rnacentral:rRNA from 1 species